AGUGAACGCUGGCGGUAGGCCUAACACAUGCAAGUCGAACGGCAGCACAGUAAGAGCUUGCUCUUACGGGUGGCGAGUGGCGGACGGGUGAGGAAUACAUCGGAAUCUACUUUUUCGUGGCGGAUAACGUAGGGAAACUUACGCUAAUACCGCAUACGACCUACGGGUGAAAGCAGUGGAUCUUCGGACCUUGCGCGAUUGAAUGAGCCGAUGUCGGAUUAGCUAGUUGGCGGGGUAAAGGCCCACCAAGGCGACGAUCCGUAGCUGGUCUGAGAGGAUGAUCAGCCACACUGGAACUGAGACACGGUCCAGACUCCUACGGGAGGCAGCAGUGGGGAAUAUUGGACAAUGGGCGCAAGCCUGAUCCAGCCAUACCGCGUGGGUGAAGAAGGCCUUCGGGUUGUAAAGCCCUUUUGUUGGGAAAGAAAAGCAGCAGGUUAAUACCCCGCUGUUCUGACGGUACCCAAAGAAUAAGCACCGGCUAACUUCGUG
rnacentral:rRNA from 1 species